AUUCAAAUAGCUUAUGUAACAGAGCAUGAUAUUGAAGAUAUCAAGGAAACUUUAUGUUUUUGGAUA
rnacentral:tRNA from 1 species